CCUACGGGCGGCAGCAGUGGGGAAUAUUGGACAAUGGGGGCAACCCUGAUCCAGCCAUGCCGCGUGUGUGAAGAAGGCCCUCGGGUUGUAAAGCACUUUCAGUGAGGAAGAACGCCUGGUGGUUAAUACCCAUCAGGAAAGACAUCACUCACAGAAGAAGCACCGGCUAACUCCGUGCCAGCAGCCGCGGUAAUACGGAGGGUGCGAGCGUUAAUCGGAAUUACUGGGCGUAAAGCGCGCGUAGGUGGCUUGAUAAGCCGGUUGUGAAAGCCCCGGGCUCAACCUGGGAACGGCAUCCGGAACUGUCAAGCUAGAGUGCAGGAGAGGAAGGUAGAAUUCCCGGUGUAGCGGUGAAAUGCGUAGAGAUCGGGAGGAAUACCAGUGGCGAAGGCGGCCUUCUGGACUGACACUGACACUGCGGUGCGAAAGCGUGGGUAGCAAACAGGAUUAGAUACCCCAGUAGUC
rnacentral:rRNA from 1 species